UGCAUGUCUAAGUACAUGCCGUAUUAAGGCGAAACCGCGAAUGGCUCAUUAAAUCAGUUAUGGUUCCUUGGAUCGUACCUUACUACUUGGAUAACUGUGGCAAUUCUAGAGCUAAUACAUGCAGCAGAGCUCCGACCUUCGGGGACGAGCGCUUUUAUUAGACCAAAACCAAUCGGACCUCGUGUCCGUCUCUUGUGGUGACUCUGUAUAACUUUGGGCUGAUCGCACGGGCCUGUCCCGGCGACGUAUCCUUCAAGUGUCUGCCUUAUCAACUUUCGAUGGUAGGUUACGCGCCUACCAUGGUCGUAACGGGUAACGGGGAAUCAGGGUUCGAUUCCGGAGAGGGAGCCUGAGAAACGGCUACCACAUCCAAGGAAGGCAGCAGGCGCGCAAAUUACCCACUCCCAGAACGGGGAGGUAGUGACGAAAAAUAACAAUACGGGACUCUUUUGAGACCCCGUAAUUGGAAUGAGUACACUCUAAAUCCUUUAACGAGGAUCCAUNGGAGGGCAAGUCUGGUGCCAGCAGCUGCGGUAAUUCCAGCUCCAAUAGCGUAUAUUAAAGUUGUUGCGGUUAAAAAGCUCGUAGUUGGAUCUCAGUUCCAGACGGGUGGUCCGCCUACCGGUGGUUACUGCCUGUUCUGAACAGCCAGCCGGUUUCUCUUGAUGAUCUUCACCGGUUGUCUUGGGUGACCGGCAAGUUUACUUUGAAAAAAUUAGAGUGCUCAAAGCAGGCGUGACGCCUGAAUAAGUGGUGCAUGGAAUAAUCCAAUAGGAUCUCGGUUCUAUUUUGUUGGUUUUCGGAACACGAGAUAAUGAUUAAGAGGGACAGACGGGGGCAUUCGUAUUGCGACGCUAGAGGAGAAA
rnacentral:rRNA from 1 species